AAUAUCCAAAACAGACUCCUAUGUAGAUCAGGUGACCAGUGAUAACAUUGGGACUUAGCUUUCCUACAAGGAAGUAGCAGCUCUGCUACUUGAACAAAGCUCUAUUCCAUUACACAGACUUGAUAGUUUGAUUGCUGAAGUUAAAAAUACAUAGUGGAUGUUUUGAACUCUGAUUUUUGUAUGAGGAUCCUGAAGUUCCCGAUUUCAUCACAUCUGACUCACUUAGAGAGACUAUAACCAUCCAAUUAUGUAUAAACUGCAUUAUUUAAAACAUUUUUGUAUUUAAUGGCUCAUAUUUCGUGUAUCACUUGCUCAUUAAUAUCAGGUAGUUAUGCCAACUUCUUUACAUGCUUUCCUUGGAGCCCUUAGCACCUUAUUUUUUCUUAAGCACAAUGGUCUAAGCAAACUUCAAGUUGAAAAUAGGAGUAGCUCAGAUUAGGAAGCAAAUUUUUGUUCAUGUAAAUACAAGUAUUUUGAGAAAUCAUGAAAAAAUUGUCUUGAGAAAACAGGUGUUUUGAAGUAAUGGUUACCUAAGUAAAAAAAAACUACCCAAGGUGCCACCAGAUCUCCAGGUUAGCUUCCAGAAUUAUUCCAGAAUGCUCUUAAGUGUAUUCUAUAACAAAUUGUAUAUAAUAUUCAGAUUCUAAAAUACUCAGCUGGAAACAGACAACUGCCUAAACUUAAGUUGUUUUCCCUUACUUGAAACUGCAAGGGUAGAAACUGUGAAUUACAGCACGUUGCUGUGUUCACACAAUUCAGUUCCAGUCACUAAAAAACAUCCUGGUUGUUCAGGAGUUAAUCCACGGAUGUAAGCUAAACUGACCAGUGACACCAGACACUGAAUAGGAGGAGGAAUGACCGGUUGACUGAACUCCUAGGGCUGAGCAGCUACCAGCAUCAGGAAGGGACCUUUCAGCCAUCUUGCUCAUUACUUUUUAUUCAGGUCUCAGGAUAUUCUAAAAUGCCAGGCUCAGGUCCAUCCUGAGGUGCUUGCUGCCUCCAGCCAUAGCAUCCUGCCUGGCACAGGAACACCCAACCACAGCAGACCCAGCAAAACGUCGGUAGGAGAGUGUGCUGGAAGAAAUUUAUCUAAACCUGAGGUGAUAACAGGUGAUUGGAGAGCGUCUUGCAUCAUCAAGGAAAAGUUCUGCAACCUGCACGCCUGAGUGCAGGCACACAGGAAUGAGCCUUGUGAGGCUUCAUAUGAAAGCAGAUUUCUUUCUCUGGCAGAUAGUAAGUAAGAGGGAGCUCAGAAGAACAGUUCUCUUGAUGUAAAAGCGGAGCCUACCCUAGAAACAGUACUGCUUCACUGCCAGACAGCAAUCCUCUGUUUCAAAUGAGGAGAAAAAGAACAGGUGUUUUUAUUUUUUCACACAGAUUGGCAAAAUUCCCCCAUUAGGAAAAGAAAAAAAACCUCUAUUUGCUAGAACUACAUUACCCAUUCAGGAAACAGAAGCAGACAAAGUUUCACACCAGAUCUUUGAAGACUAAAUUAAUCUUUUUAGGACAUCUGCUGUAGGAGAAUUGAAAUUGAUUAUGUGAGCAGCUCUAACCACCUAGCUAUGAACUAGCUUCUAGCAGUUAACAUUUUGGUAACCAAACCUCCAAACAUAACGAGAACUUUGAUUUAUUUUAGAUUAAGAAAUCUGAUUAAGAAAUGUUCCUGUAGUAUCUUUGGAUGUGGUUUAAGCAAGCUGAAAAUGGUGAACAGACAUGGGAUGCUAUCAAAGGGCUUUUAAGUUUAAUGUUGGUAGAGGUAGUAAAAAUUACUAUGUAAGGUUUAGUUUUUGCAAAUAGGUCCACUGACUUAAAAAAAAGAGCCCCAUUUCUGCACUUGGCCCCAUAUGGCCAUAUUCCUGUCAGGACGACACUGGGACCAACAGGACACAGAAAUGAACCACCUGAUGGACCAGUUUCAUGACAAGCCUUAGCCGUCUCUUUGCAGAUUUUACAGGAGGAGGAGGAGGACAGCUGUUGGUACUUCACUUGUAGUUACUGCAGUAGCAAAAAUAGCAGACUGCUGCAAGUCUCCCAACCAGUCUGUUA
rnacentral:lncRNA from 1 species